AAACAGGAUUAGAUACCCUGGUAGUCCGCACGGUAAACGAUGAAUGCUCGCUAUGGGCGAUACAUUGUCCGUGGCCAAGCGAAAGCGUUAAGCAUUCCACCUGGGGAGUACGCCGGCAACGGUGAAACUCAAAGGAAUUGACGGGGGCCCGCACAAGCGGAGGAACAUGUGGUUUAAUUCGAUGAUACGCGAGGAACCUUACCCGGGCUUGAAUUGCAGGUGCAUGAGUCAGAGAUGAUUCUUUCCUUCGGGACUCCUGUGAAGGUGCUGCAUGGUUGUCGUCAGCUCGUGCCGUGAGGUGUCGGCUUAAGUGCCAUAACGAGCGCAACCCUUCUCCCCAGUUGCCAUCGGGUAAUGCCGGGCCCUCUGGGGACACUGCCAUCGUAAGAUGCGAGGAAGGUGGGGAUGACGUCAAAUCAGCACGGCCCUUACGUCCGGGGCUACACACGUGUUACAAUGGGGGGUACAGAGGGCCGCUGUCCGGUGACGGUUGGCCAAUCCCUAAAACCCCUCUCAGUUCGGACUGGAGUCUGCAACCCGACUCCACGAAGCUGGAUUCGCUAGUAAUCGCGCAUCAGCCAUGGCGCGGUGAAUACGUUCCCGGGCCUUGUACACACCGCCCGUCAAGUCAUGAAAGCCGGGGGCGCCUGAAGUCCGUUACCGCGAGGGUCGGCCUAGGGUAAAACUGGUGAUUGGGGCUAAGUCGUAACAAGGUAACCGUA
rnacentral:rRNA from 1 species